rnacentral:rRNA from 1 species
UACGAAGGGGGCUAGCGUUGCUCGGAAUCACUGGGCGUAAAGCGCACGUAGGCGGAUUGUUAAGUCAGGGGUGAAAUCCUGGAGCUCAACUCCAGAACUGCCUUUGAUACUGGCGAUCUUGAGUCCGGAAGAGGUGAGUGGAACUCCGAGUGUAGAGGUGAAAUUCGUAGAUAUUCGGAAGAACACCAGUGGCGAAGGCGGCUCACUGGUCCGGUACUGACGCUGAGGUGCGAAAGCGUGGGGAGCAAACAGG